rnacentral:rRNA from 1 species
AUUGAACGCUGGCGGCAUGCCUUACACAUGCAAGUCGAACGGUAACAGGCCGCAAGGUGCUGACGAGUGGCGAACGGGUGAGUAAUGCAUCGGAACGUGCCCAGUCGUGGGGGAUAACUGCUCGAAAGAGCAGCUAAUACCGCAUACGACCUGAGGGUGAAAGCGGGGGACCGUAAGGCCUCGCGCGAUUGGAGCGGCCGAUGUCAGAUUAGCUAGUUGGUGGGGUAAAGGCCUACCAAGGCAACGAUCUGUAGUUGGUCUGAGAGGACGACCAGCCACACUGGGACUGAGACACGGCCCAGACGCCUACGGGAGGCAGCAGUGGGGAAUUUUGGACAAUGGGCGCAAGCCUGAUCCAGCAAUGCCGCGUGCAGGAAGAAGGCCUUCGGGUUGUAAACUGCUUUUGUCAGGGAAGAAAUCCUCUGGGUUAAUACCUCGGGGGGAUGACGGUACCUGAAGAAUAAGCACCGGCUAACUACGUGCCAGCCGCCGCCGUAACAC